GAUGAACGCUGGCGGCGUGCCUAAUACUUGCAAGUCGAGCGAACAGACGAGGAGCUUGCUCCUCUGACGUUAGCGGCGGACGGGUGAGUAACACGUGGAUAACCUACCUAUAAGACUGGGAUAACUUCGGGAAACCGGAGCUAAUACCGGAUAAUAUAUUGAACCGCAUGGUUCAAUAGUGAAAGACGGUUUUGCUGUCACUUAUAGAUGGAUCCGCGCCGCAUUAGCUAGUUGGUAAGGUAACGGCUUACCAAGGCAACGAUGCGUAGCCGACCUGAGAGGGUGAUCGGCCACACUGGAACUGAGACACGGUCCAGACUCCUACGGGAGGCAGCAGUAGGGAAUCUUCCGCAAAGGGCGAAAGCCUGACGGAGCAACGCCGCGUGAGUGAUGAAGGUCUUCGGAUCGUAAAACUCUGUUAUUAGGGAAGAACAAAUGUGUAAGUAACUAUGCACGUCUUGACGGUACCUAAUCAGAAAGCCACGGCUAACUACGUG
rnacentral:rRNA from 1 species